GAUUAACGCUGGCGGCGUGCAUAACACAUGCAAGUCGAACGAUGAAACUUAACUGAUUUCUUCGGAAUGAUUUUAAGUGGAUUAGUGGCGGACGGGUGAGUAACGCGUGAGUAACCUGCCUUGGAGAAGGGGAUAGCCUUUGGAAACGAAGAAUAAUACCCUAUGAUAUGAUAAUAUCUCAUGAUAUUAUCAUCAAAGAUUUAUCGCUCUAAGAUGGACUUGGGUCUGAUUAGUUAGUUGGUGAGGUAACAGCUCACCAAGGCAGCGAUCAGUAGCCGGCUUGAGAGAGUGUACGGCCACAUUGGGACUGAGACACGGCCCAGACUCCUACGGGAGGCAGCAGUGGGGAAUUUUGCACAAUGGGGGAAACCCUGAUGCAGCGACGCCGCGUGAUUUAGAAGGCCUUCGGGUUGUAAAAAUCUUUUGUAUGGGAAGAAAAUGACAGUACCAUACGAAUAAGGACCGGCUAAUUACGUG
rnacentral:rRNA from 1 species